rnacentral:rRNA from 1 species
UGGCGAACGGGUGAGUAACACGUGGGUAACCUGCCCAUCAGAAGGGGAUAACACUUGGAAACAGGUGCUAAUACCGUAUAACACUAUUUUCCGCAUGGAAGAAAGUUGAAAGGCGCUUUUGCGUCACUGAUGGAUGGACCCGCGGUGCAUUAGCUAGUUGGUGAGGUAACGGCUCACCAAGGCAACGAUGCAUAGCCGACCUGAGAGGGUGAUCGGCCACACUGGGACUGAGACACGGCCCAGACUCCUACGGGAGGCAGCAGUAGGGAAUCUUCGGCAAUGGACGAAAGUCUGACCGAGCAAACGCCGCGUGA